UAUUCCUUAAAAUAGCAAUCACAGAAGGUCCAAAGAACAUUACGAGGAAACAAACAAAACCAAGUGCAGACAAACCAAGGGAUCUGUUGUUGUCGGUACAUGGUUCAAAAGACAUGGACAUCUGGACGUCAAGACCAGGAAAUAGCUGACAACUUGCACAAACUUGCAACUUGACAAUGAUAACAGACUAAACAUUCCCUCCAAAAAUUGCAAAGAAUUGGAAAUUGAGAAGAUGCCUAUCAAUUGGGGAAUGGAAAAACAAGCUGUGAUAUGGGAUGAAGAUGAUUAAAUAAUAUUUAUUGUAUUUUAAGAAAUGAUCAGCAGAAUGUUUUCA